rnacentral:tRNA from 1 species
UGGGAUGUAGCUCAGUGGGAGAAUUCUUGCCUUGCAUGUAUGAGGUCUUGGGUUCAAUCCCCAGCAUCACAG